AAGAAGAGCAGAAGCAGCAAAAUCAAUAGCAGCUGCUUCCCAGGGAUAUCUACUGGACAUGGCCUAACAAAAUAAAAUAGAACAGAGCACAAACUCUCAUAUCAUACCUAGAUGUGGAAACCAAAUAGGAGGAAAAGAGUUCCAAGCAAAGGAAAAGAUUCAGAGGCACAUGUCAUCCCACCCCCACUGUUAGGAGUCUCACAAGAACACCCAGCUGCUACACAACCAUAAGAACUGGAUGAUAAAGUUUAACCUCCAUGGCACAAGCAAGCACUGGGUUAGACUGCUGCUGGGUGAAGAAGAGACCCAAGACUUGAUCAGUGAGCAGCCAUUGAUUUCUUCCCAAAGUGUGAUGCUUUAGGAAGGCUUGAGCAUGGGGGUGGAGUAGUCAAGGAUGGCCUUUGUGAGCCUCUGCGGUGCCCUACUGCCAUCCUGCAGGCAGAGCUACAGUGCAAGGCCAUUACAGCUUUAUUCCCAUGAGUCCUGGCAAUGGGGAAUCAAUGCCAGGUAAGACUCCUUUGGCUUCGACAGUGGACCCCAGUGCUUUUCC